rnacentral:rRNA from 1 species
ACGGGUGAGUAACACGUGGGAACGUACCCUUUGGUUCGGAAUAACGCUGGGAAACUAGCGCUAAUACCGGAUACGCCCUUUUGGGGAAAGGCUUGCUGCCGAAGGAUCGGCCCGCGUCUGAUUAGCUAGUUGGUGGGGUAAUGGCCUACCAAGGCGACGAUCAGUAGCUGGUCUGAGAGGAUGAUCAGCCACACUGGGACUGAGACACGGCCCAGACUCCUACGGGAGGCAGCAGUGGGGAAUAUUGGACAAUGGGCGCAAGCCUGAUCCAGCCAUGCCGCGUGAGUGAUGAAGGCCUUAGGGUUGUAAAGCUCUUUUGUCCGGGACGAUAAUGACGGUACCGGAAGAAUAAGCCCCGGCUAACUUCGUGCCAGCAGCCGCGGUAAUACGAAGGGGGCUAGCGUUGCUCGGAAUCACUGGGCGUAAAGGGCGCGUAGGCGGCCAUUCAAGUCGGGGGUGAAAGCCUGUGGCUCAACCACAGAAUUGCCUUCGAUACUGCUUGGCUUGAGUUUGGUAGAGGUUGGUGGAACUGCGAGUGUAGAGGUGAAAUUCGUAGA